UAGGGAAUCUUCGGCAAUGGGGGGAACCCUGACCGAGCAACGCCGCGUGAGUGAAGAAGGUUUUCGGAUCGUAAAGCUCUGUUGUUAAGGAAGAACGAGUGUGAGAAUGGAAAGUUCAUACUGUGACGGUACUUAACCAGAAAGGGACGGCUAACUACGUGCCAGCAGCCGCGGUAAUACGUAGGUCCCGAGCGUUGUCCGGAUUUAUUGGGCGUAAAGCGAGCGCAGGCGGUUAGAUAAGUCUGAAGUUAAAGGCAGUGGCUCAACCAUUGUAUGCUUUGGAAACUGUUGAACUUGAGUGCAGAAGGGGAGAGUGGAAUUCCAUGUGUAGCGGUGAAAUGCGUAGAUAUAUGGAGGAACACCGGUGGCGAAAGCGGCUCUCUGGUCUGUAACUGACGCUGAGGCUCGAAAGCGUGGGGAGCGAACAGG
rnacentral:rRNA from 1 species